GGCUUGGUGACAUAGUGGUAACGCGCUCUGUGUACCUAUGUAAGAUUCGCAUAUCGUUUAACGGAAAGUCCGGAGUUCGACUCUCCGUCAAGCCA